CAACUGUUUGCGGGAGAGAACAGCGCAAGGCUGUCGCCGAAGGGGAAAUCGCCCGAAAUCUCUCAGGCAAAAGAACCGUUGGCAGUAA
rnacentral:ncRNA from 1 species